UUAAGAGCAUAACAUGCAAGCAUAUAGUAAUUAUGCACAACCAUUUAUUGUUGUGAAGUUUGUGAAUGAUAUAGGCACGGAUGAGCACUCCACUAGCCCAGUAGGUUCACAUGAGUCAGUUCAUGCACAUCAUAUUGAACAAGAACAGAUGCAUGAAAAUGAACAGUCCCAAGGAAGAGCUGAAGGGUAUGCUCAGCAAAUAGCUGAAGAGUUAAGAAGAUUAGCUCAACA
rnacentral:lncRNA from 1 species